UACGGAGGGUGCGAGCGUUAAUCGGAAUUACUGGGCGUAAAGCGUGCGCAGGCGGUUUUGUAAGUUUGUCGUGAAAGCCCCGGGCUCAACCUGGGAAUUGCGAUGAAGACUGCAAGGCUUGAAUCUGGCAGAGGGGGGUAGAAUUCCACGUGUAGCAGUGAAAUGCGUAGAGAUGUGGAGGAACACCGAUGGCGAAGGCAGCCCCCUGGGUCAAGAUUGACGCUCAUGCACGAAAGCGUGGGGAGCAAACAGG
rnacentral:rRNA from 1 species